AGGAUGCCCAGUUAAAUUUGAAUUCAGAUAAACAAUGAAUACUUUUUUAGUGUAAGUAUUUCCCUUGAAAUGUUUGGGACAUAUUUAUGCCAAAAAUUAUUUGUUGAUUAUAGGAAAUUCAAGUUUAACUUAGCAUGUCUG
rnacentral:miRNA from 1 species